rnacentral:misc_RNA from 1 species
AUCAUCAUUUACUUAGAUGAGAUUUCCACCACUCCAACCUGUAUAGUUGUGGACAUGUUCCGCACAGGAUUAGUUGCCAAAACACAACCUGCUGCCAUUCGAAUCUACGAUUACUAUGAACCUGCCAACCAAGUGACUAAGUUUUACCAAUCUCAGCGUCUGAAGAACUCUAAUAUCUGUGACAUUUGCGCGGAUUGUGGAUGUACAGCUUGAGCUGUUGUUCUGAUCCCGAUAGAGAACUGUUAAUCAAGAUACUGGUUUUAUAAAACUUUGUUAUUAAAGAACAAAAAUAAAACAAGCUUUUAUUAGUUUCAUACGAAU